rnacentral:rRNA from 1 species
GAUGAACGCUGGCGGCGUGCCUAAUACAUGCAAGUCGAGCGAACAGACGAGGAGCUUGCUCCUCUGACGUAAGCGGCGAAUGAGUGAGUAACACGUGGAUAACCUACCUAUAAGACUGGGAUAAAUCCGGGAAACCGGAGCGAUAACAGGAUGAUAUAUUGAACCGCAGGGUUCAAUAGUUAAAGACGGUUUUGCUGUCACUGAUAGAUGGAUCCGCGCCGCAUUAGCUAGUUGGUAAGGGAACGGCUUACCAAGGCGACGAUGCGUAGCCGAGCUGAGAGAGUGGUAGCCCACCCGGGAGGUGAGACGGGGUCCCGAGGACUACGGGACGCAGCAGUCUCGAACCGUACGCAGUGGGCGAGAGUCUUACGGAGCAACGGGGCGUGAGUGAUGACGGUGCUCGGAUCGGAAUGCCGUGUUACGAGGUAAGAACCAAUGUGUACGGAGACAUGCCGUAAUUGACGGUACCUAAUGAGAAAGCGCCGGCUAACUACGUG